rnacentral:rRNA from 1 species
GACGAACGCUGGCGGCGUGCUUAAAACAUGCAAGUCGAACGAAGUGGCGAACGGGUGAGUAAUACGUGGGUAACCUGCCCUCCUUUUUGGGAUAAGCCUUGGAAACGGGGUCUAAUACCGACUAAAGGGGGAUGGGCUCGCGGCCUAUCAGCUUGUUGGUGGGGUGAUGGCCUACCAAGGCGGUGACGGGUAGCCGGCCUGAGAGGGUGACCGGCCAAGUUGGUACUGAGAUACGUCCCAGACUCCUACGGGAGGCAGCAGUGGGUGAGAUUGCACAAUGGACGAAAGUCUGACGAAGCAACGCCGCGUGAGUGAUGACGUCCUUCGGGUUGUAAAGCUCUAUCGGUACGAAAGCGGUACCGGAAUAGAAAGCCACGGCUAACUACGUGCCAGCAGCCGCGGUAAUUC